rnacentral:lncRNA from 10 species
CUAGGAACUGUGUAGCCUUAGCCGAUGAGUAUAUUAUGUCCACAAACAACUACAGACUAAAGCCCCAUUUCUGUUUAGGGCCUAGGUCACCCCAAGGAAAUGAGGGGCAUCAAAAUAAUCACUGAGACUGAAUCUUCUGCCAGUCCCGAGGGAAGAAAGCUCAGAGACCCACUGCUAUUGAUUUAAUGAAAAUAAAGCCGUGUGACUUUUCUUGCCCCUGAGCCUGUGGCCUGAUUUAUAAUCUAGGGCAUGUCGAGGUAUGCGUGGAAGGUAACCUAUGGGACUGGUGGGGAAGGAGGGCAGGCAAGGAGUCUAGGGCAGCCAGUGCUCCCAGGGCUGAGCAGGCAGUUGGCAAUGGUUACACCUGAAAUUGGAACAAGGGAGAGAGUUCUGGGAGGGCACAGGAGCUCCUCAUAAGCCCAUCUGAGGGGUGCUGGAGUCUUACUCAGCUUUUGACUG